GCAGCGGUGGGCUCCACACUUUGCUGGUGGGUCCUCAGGAGAAGCUGCAGGUCCUCCAGACUCAUGUCCACAUUCUCUACAGCAUCAGAUCAGACAGAGACAUAUGACAAGACCACCUGUACUGCUACCUGACGCAUGCACCUGACCAGCACGCCGGACACUAUUAUAGGGCGCAACGGUCAGGUUUCUGUCUCACCUUCCUCUUGAUGUGCUCCAGCAAGUGUUCGUGGCCUUGCAGGAAGUAGAGGUGCUGGAACUCUGUGUCGUCUCGCUCUGGCUUCACCAGGCCACUCUGCUCUAUGUUCACCACCUUCCUGAAGCCAUCUGCACACCAGUCCACAGUUAGCGGCACACAACAACACACACACCUCCAGAGGCACAAACACUCAAAUGAAUGCCUAUCCUACAGUACCUACACAAGUCAUUCCUACACUAUUCACUUCUAAAUACUGCUAAAUAUCCGAGAGGGUCUUUAUUCUUUAGUGAUGAGGAGAGGUACUC